CCCAGGGCUCCCCACCCUGGGCUGGGCGGGGCUCUGGCCCCUGCUGCGCCCUGACAGCUCUUGGUCGCUGCCAGAGAAGGUGAUUGCCAUGUUUGCAGCUCCUUUCCUUGUUUGGAAAGAUGUGGAGGCAGGUCCUAGGGCUCACUGGAGAAUAUCGCCAUCGGACCAGCAGGAGGCACUCUGCCCAGGCAUGGCCAGAUGAAGACAUUUCCUAGCGGAAAACCAAAGCUGACCUCAGAAAAUCAGAAGACCUACCCUCUCCAAGACAAGCCAUCACCAGCUGGAACAACAGAGAAGGAAUGGAGAAGCAAGAGAGAAGUGGGAAGCAGUGUGGCGCUGGGUUUCCUUUGAAAUCUUGCUUUGUGCCAAAAUAAAAGAAGGAGCUAUAUAGCAUUGGAUUCUGGGCUCCCUUACCCAAAUGGUAGCAAAAUCUUUUCAUCUCUUGG
ensembl:lncRNA